rnacentral:rRNA from 1 species
GCUAGCAGCCAUAUCAACCUGUAACUCACAUCUGGCAACCCACUGAUGCUAAGCACCUGUGAGCCUGGUUAAUACCUGGAUGGGAGAUCUCUGGGGAAAAACUAAGGUUGCUGCUGGAA